GAGGGACUUCCUGUUGGUGUCCGGGAGAACGCCGCGUGGGUCGGUCUGCGAUUUUCCCGGGAGCGUUCGGGGCAUUGGCGGCAGUUUCACUGCUUGAGUGGCUCGUGAUUUUGUGCCCAGCCAGACUGCGGCAGGCCCUCCUCCACUCAACAAGCCCAGGGUCCUGCUGUGUACACUCUCUGCCUGCGGAGGAGAAACCCUGAGUGUGACCAAGGCCCCAGCCGACGAGCAGCUUGCCGUCUGCAGCUCCCCGGGACCCACCAGAACAGAACAGAGAGCGCUGCCUUCCACCCCGGAGUCCACGGGGGUCUUGCUAGGACAUUCUUCUUCUGUAGAAGUUGUAAAUUUUACUUUGGGCUCUCCUCAUUUUGAGGUAAUAAAAUCCUGAGCCUGGAAGGGAACGGGGAGAUCAUCCUUCACCUCACGGAUGUAAAAAGUUGAAUCCUGGAGAGACGCAGGACACACAUCCACAUGGCUACCAGGAGGCAUUGUGAAUUCCCCAGGACCCCGUCCCCACUCCCCACAGGACCUGGGGAAGCAGAUACCCUGAGGAUCCGUGAAAGUCAGCUUGGAAGUACCACUGUCACCUGGAAGAUGACUGGCUGGAGCAGUCUGUUUGGAGGUGUUUGCUUUUCUUUGUUAUUGUGGCCAGAAAUAAUAGUAAGAAGGACUUAAUGUUAUUUCUAACUCCGAGAGUCCCCUUUCCCUCUCCCCAGGCAAUCUAGAUUGGGCUCCUACCAUCUGGAAAAUAUAAGUUUUGUUUGGAAACUAGGAACAUCUUCUACCGCAUCUAAAACUGGUUACUUUCCCCACCAAGCAGCAUAUCAAAGACAGGGAUAAAAAUAUCCAUUGUAUGAGACAGCCAUUUUUAUAUCCAUGGCUUUUGGCUCUCAGAUUGAUCUUUGGUGGCCUCUGCCAUCCAGUCUAAUCAGCCUAAUCUCUUGAGGGGCAAAGAUGAGGAGUGCACCGCUCUGUCGAGCAGCCCGGCUCUGGGCAAGCGAUCUCAUUGUCAUAUAUUAGAAUUGAGAAGUGCAGGGGAGGCAAACAUAAUAUUCCCUCUACCCUUGUAACUUCUUUUCUGGGACCCUUAAACAAAAUACAGAUUGACAAGAGAAAAUCAAGUGUAUUAAAAUGUAUGUUUCAUGUAUACACGAAAGAAAAACCAGGGAAAGAGUAACUACCAAAGAUGUCAUCUGCAAAUUCUUGCUCAUUAGUCUCUUCAACAGUAAACGAUGCAUUUUUAAUUUAUUUAUUAAUUUAUUCUAAUUAGGUAUAUAUGGCAGCAGAAUGCAUUUUGAUUCAUUGUACAAACUGCAGCACAACUUUUCAUUUCUCUGGUUGUACAUGACAUAGCCUCGCACCACAUGUUCAGUCAUACAUGUACCGGGCCAUGCAUUUUCAGACAAAUGAUGAACAAAGGAAUCAGACUGUGAGUCUCUAUGAGCGGCAAAGUGUGGGAAGGCAAAGGUGUGGGGAACUCACUGUAGGUAGAGACUUGACAGUCGAGAUUGGCACAUAGAUUCCCCUGGCCUAGUCCUGGCUAAUAUGGGUCUCAAGCCAUCUCUGGGGAUGGACUUAAUCCUUCCUGAUGGAGAGGGGAGAAGGGACAAGGUUUUGUUCUACUUUUAGACAUACAGAGGGAGGGUAGGGAGGUUUUCUUGUAUCUGUUUCUUCUAAAUUGCUUCCAGCUCAAAAUAAUCCUCAUGCCAAAGUGACAAAUGUGGCUUUUUCUGCUGUCUUUGAAAGACUUUCUGAGCUCACAUGGUUUGAUAUUACAGACAAGAAAACCAGGCUUAGGGAAAGAAACCUCUUGCAUGCUCUCCAUUUGUAAGAGGACCUGCUCCGUCAUUUCCACCUUUGACAGUCCCUGCUCUGAAAGUCCCUUCCGGGUGGCUGUGGACAAGCAGCCCAAAAGCAUCACUUGGAGCUCCUGGAGAGGGCAGAUCUGGGCCCCAGUGGGAAUCUGCAUCUGAAGGCCUCCUCCAGGUGUCACCAAAGAGCUGACAGUGAUCUUGUGAAGCCCAGGAAGCUUUCCUUCCGCCCCCCUCCCCUGCCUGCUUCCUGUCCUGGAAGUUCCCUUUAGCUCUUGGCCUGAUACCCAGUACAAGGACAGGGAAAUGGGCCAAGAGGGGUAUUUGCGUUUCCCACACCACACACACUUCAGCGCCUACCCUUCUAAAAAGUGCCGGAACCAAGGGUCCAUGAGCAGACAAAUCGUGGAAUGAUUUUUAAAACUCCAAAUCCCAUGUUUCUUUGCAAAUUUAGGCAAAUCUUGGUUCACAGACCACUCUGACACGGUAAGCUAAUGCAGUGUAAUUUAUUCUGGUCCUGGAAUGUGUUUGUUAAGGCAUUUACAUGGCAUUUUAUCAUCCAUCAACUCCUUACCAUGUUAAAUUAUAAUUACUCCCUCCCCAAUAAACCAAAGGCCAAAAUCUCCUGUUAUUCUACAAAUUACAUCAUUUUUAUAACACUUUCGAGUUUGUAAAAACCACUUUCAAUUUAACUUUUUUUUUUUUUUUUAAAUCCUCAUAACACGAGGUGUAAGGAUGCACCCACUUAUAACAACAAUGAGCCUGAAGCCAGAGGUUUCUCCAGGAUGUUCUGGAAUUAGGCUUGAAUCCAGGUCUCCUAAUCCCAUAUUCUGGUUAAAUAAAGUUUUGUAGGUGCCGUCUAUUUGAACUAGGCUCCUGCGCUAACCAACAGACCAAACCAAUUUGGAAUUUAAUCACAGUAGCUGAGCUUUAAUUAAAGCAGGAGGCCCUGGAAACAAUUAACUAAUUAAGCUGUAGCCAAUUAAGUUGUCUCUGUACCCCACUUCCACUUUCCAUAACUGUCAGAUCACGCUGUGGGUUGGAGUUCUCACAACCUGCUCUGGGUUGGAGGCUGCCUGAUUCUCUAGACCUUUUUUUUUUUUUUUUUUUGCUUUACUUUGUUUUGCUUCCUUUUGUUUUGUUUUGCUUGUUCAAAUAAACUACUAAAUCUAAUUGGCCAAAGGAAUGUUCCUCUUAGCAUUCCACAAUCUUUCUAUCUAUUUCACCGAAUGGCCUCCACAGCGUAACUAAGUCUGCACCGCGAGACGCCAAGGUGAGAGGUUCUGUUUGGGGACUUGGCAUUUUUUAUCAAUAUUUCUUCCCAGCAGUGCAGUUCACCAGUAAUAACUGAUUAGAUAUUGUGAUUUCCAAGAAAGAUCCCAUUCCUUCUGUGGUUGGGAAACUGCCUUUGGGCAAA